ACAGAGGGUGCAAGCGUUGUUCGGAAUUAUUGGGCGUAAAGCGCGUGUAGGCGGCUUUGCAAGUCGGGUGUGAAAGCCCUCGGCUCAACCGAGGAAGUGCGCCCGAAACUGCAGAGCUUGAGUACCGGAGAGGAUGGCGGAAUUCCCCAAGUAGAGGUGAAAUUCGUAGAUAUGGGGAGGAACACCGGUGGCGAAGGCGGGUCUCUGAGCAUUCCCUGACGCUGAGGCGCGAAAGCGUGGGGAGCAAACGGGA
rnacentral:rRNA from 1 species